AGCGAACGCUGGCUGCAGGCCUAACACAUGCAAGUCGAACGGAUCCUUCGGGAUUAGUGGCGGACGGGUGAGUAACACGUGGGAACGUGCCCUUUGGUUCGGAACAACUCAGGGAAACUUGAGCUAAUACCGGAUAAGCCUUUCGAGGGAAAGAUUUAUCGCCAUUGGAGCGGCCCGCGUAGGAUUAGGUAGUUGGUGGGGUAAAGGCCUACCAAGCCGACGAUCCUUAGCUGGUCUGAGAGGAUGAUCAGCCACACUGGGACUUAGACACGGCCCAGACUCCUACGGGAGGCAGCAGUGGGGAAUAUUGGACAAUGGGCGAAAGCCUGAUCCAGCAAUGCCGCGUGAUUGAUGAAGGCCUUAGGGUCGUAAAGCUCUUUUACCAGGGAUGAUAAUGACAGUACCUGGAGAAUAAGCUCCGGCUAACUCCGUGCCAGCAGCCGCGGUAAUACGGAGGGAGCUAGCGUUGUUCGGAAUUACUGGGCGUAAAGCGUACGUAGGCGGUUAUUCAAGUCAGAGGUGAAAGCCCGGGGCUCAACCCCGGAACGGCCUUUGAAACUAGGUAGCUAGAAUCUUGGAGAGGUCAGUGGAAUUCCGAGUGUAGAGGUGAAAUUCGUAGAUAUUCGGAAGAACACCAGUGGCGAAGGCGACUGACUGGACAAGUAUUGACGCUGAGGUACGAAAGCGUGGGGAGCAAACAGGAUUAGAUACCCUGGUAGUCCACGCCGUAAACGAUGAUAACUAGCUGUCCGGGCACUUGGUGCCUGGGUGGCGCAGCUAACGCAUUAAGUUAUCCGCCUGGGGAGUACGGUCGCAAGAUUAAA
rnacentral:rRNA from 1 species